GUUGCGUGUAGUUCAGUUGGUCAGAACGCCGGGUUGUGGCCCCGGAGGUCAGCGGUGGCUGGAAGCUGCGCUGCAGUUGCGAGCCCGCUCACGCACCCCA
rnacentral:tRNA from 1 species